AUACGGAGUAAGAGCUGGUUGGCUACGCGACGUAAAAUCUAAGCCAUCUGCCAGCCAUGUUUUCGGUUCGGGAUCGCCGUUUCCCUGUGUACGACCGAGGCUAAGCUACUGAGCCAUUCCGCACCAACGGAAGAGCUUAGCUCAUUCAAGGGAGAAAGAAUUGACAAUUCAUUGCUGUCAUGUUUUAUGAUAGUAUCUGAAUGGGGUGAGAUUCUGUAGUUGGUAAUUACAUCUGGAGGAGACUGUUGGCUUUAUCUACGGGGCAGUGUCAUCUCUUAACAGAGGCAGAUCACUCUUGAUGGAGACAAGCAAGAUAAGGACGACAGAUGGAAUCAUGGAAGUCCUGACAGAGUGGACGACUCAGUGGAGGCAGAUGAUUUGCUUCGGCAUCUUGGCAAAACGUUAUUCCGGCUGGCUUAUCAGUCCGUAUCCACUAGUCAGAAUUGACUCUGUACGGAUGGCGUCAGCAUCACGACGACCACUUGCCAGAAGCAGCCUGUCUCCC
rnacentral:lncRNA from 1 species